rnacentral:rRNA from 1 species
GAUGAACGCUGGCGGCGUGCCUAAUACAUGCAAGUCGAGCGAACAGACGAGGAGCUUGCUCCUCUGACGUUAGCGGCGGACGGGUGAGUAACACGUGGAUAACCUACCUAUAAGACUGGGAUAACUUCGGGAAACCGGAGCUAAUACCGGAUAAUAUAUUGAACCGCAUGGUUCAAUAGUGAAAAACGGUUUUGCUGUCACUUAUAGAUGGAUCCGCGCCGCAUUAGCUAGUUGGUAAGGUAACGGCUUACCAAGGCAACGAUGCGUAGCCGACCUGAGAGGGUGAUCGGCCACACUGGAACUGAGACACGGUCCAGACUCCUACGGGAGGCAGCAGUAGGGAAUCUUCCGCAAUGGGCGAAAGCCUGACGGAGCAACGCCGCGUGAGUGAUGAAGGUCUUCGGAUCGUAAAACUCUGUUAUUAGGGAAGAACAAAUGUGUAAGUAACUAUGCACGUCUUGACGGUACCUAAUCAGAAAACCACGGCUAACUACGU